rnacentral:antisense_RNA from 1 species
UGUGGGAGCGGGCUUGCCCGCGAUCGCGGUGGUUCAGCCAAGAAUGUAUUGACUGACACGCUGCCAUCGCGGGCAAGCCCGCUCCCACA